rnacentral:lncRNA from 1 species
AGCUGAUAAAUGAAGUAUAUUAUGAUGACUCGGUGGGUCAUUAUUUCCGAUCUAAAUUAUAUUUACAUUUUCUACCAUAAAAAUGACAAUAUUUAACUUAAACAGAGAUACACAUCGUAAGAAGUUGUGUCCACUUAAAUGUACAAGUAUACACUAGAUAAAGGUCAUGAGGGAAAGUUGUGGGCAGACAGUAACAUAGCAGUGUAGUCAGACAAUGUUACACCUUAAACAGGUAAUUAUGUACCUGUAAUCUGUGGUGACGUAAACUGGUGUUUUACCUUUCAAAUAAUUGCAUGUUUAUUGCAGAAAAAACUUUUCGUGAUGAGGGAUGUGUUGGUGCGGAACAUAACAUAACUUUAUAUUCCGAUUUCAUUGUUUGAAUAAGGCGGAAUUUUAUAUUUGUGAGGAAAUAAUUUUACUUCGACAAUUAAAUUAUAAAGCAAGGUCAGUAUGUCAAUUAUAUUUGUCAUGGUAACAUUAACUUUACAUUUUAUACCAAUUAAGGUACUGUACAUAUUUUAUAUAUAAAGAACACAACAAUAUACGAGGAACUGACUGGAGUAUGACACUCUGCUGUGCGCAAUACUAUGAAUAUAUGGAAGUUUGAAUGAUAUUUGUACAAUAGAGAAAAGUUGUCAAAAAUUGCUAAAAAAGGAUCAAGAAAAAUAAAGAAUAGAGAAAACUUGACCAAGAAAAUUAAGAAUAGAGGAAAAUGGACCAAGAAAUUAGAUUAAAGAAUAGAGAAUGUUUGGGUGCUAAAACAUAUAAAAGAAUAAAAAGAUGUGAGCUAAAAAAAAUAUAGAAUAC